rnacentral:misc_RNA from 1 species
UUCAUUUCUCACACAUACGCAAAUAGUGAGUUCUAUGUGUGGUGAUUACUAAACGAAUAUGGCGGCCCCCCCUCCCCGCCGCAAACGUGCUCCCCCGAUACAGCUUGUGCUCCGUCUCUCUAUUCCUUAGUCCGUGGACCUAACUAAUCACAGAAGCAAUCAUGAUUGGCACAACUCUACUUAUAGGAACUCUACUCCGCUCUGGUAUGCAAGAGGCAUAACCUAAAAACACACACAAGAAAGACAAGUAAAAUUUCGAAGGGUUAUAAAAAUGUCAAAUGAAAGUUAUGAAUACUUAGAUGAAGAUUUAGAUGUGGUCUGUGAUGCUUCUAUUCAAGAUUCGUUUGAAGAAAUUCUAAUAAUGGAAGUUAAAGAGAAUCCCUGCUUAUGGGAUCAGCAUAUGGAUGUAAAAAUACAGAGGGCUUAUUGCAAUUAAGAAAGCAUGGGAACAAGUUGGAAAAGCUUUAAAUGCUGAUCCAGUUGUAUGCCAGAAAAAUGGAAAAUUUAAAAGAUACUUUUCGGAAGAAAUAUAAAGAGGAACAUAAAUAUGUACCCAGUGGAAGUGGCUCUCAAAAAAAAAAGAGAGUUGGAAGUUUUAUCAAUGUUUGCAGUUUUUAAUUCCUACAAUGGAAGUUUGAAAUACAAUAAGCAACAUGGCUGUCACAAAACCUUCAGUGAGCAUAACAAGCAACAAGGUUGUCACAAAACUUUUAGUGAUCUCAUCUGUUCCUUUGCCACCUUUGACUGAAGACAAGUUGUCUUCACUAAGCAUUUUACAGCAUAUCUAAAAAUGUAAUUUCUCCAUUGCCAACGCAAACUCUAUCUUCGUCUGAUAAUUCGAUACGAGGAUCAAAGAGACAACGAUAUAACUCAACUGCACUGAACACUAAAAUAAGCAACAUGGCUGUCACAAAACCUUCAGUGAGCAUAACAAGCAACAAGGUUGUCACAAAACCUUUAGUGAUCUCAUCUGUUCCUUCGCCACCUUUGACUGAAGACAAGUUGUCUUCACUAAGCAUUUUACAGCAUAUCUAAAAAUGUAAUUUCUCCAUCGCCAACUCAAACUCUAUUUUUGUCUAAUAAUUCGAUACGAGGAUCAAAGAGACAACAAUGGCCGCGUUCAGCAGACUCAACAGUUGUAGAUUUUCCGCUGAAUCUCGACUGUUAAUUAGUUGGUUCUGAAAGUAAGAACCAAUCACGUUCGAUUGCUACUAAGCGAUUUGUUCUGCUGAACGCGCCCAAUGUAACCACGGACUAAGGAAUAGAGGGACUGAGUCUAAAGUCCUAGUUUA